GCCCUUGUAGCUCAGCCUGGAUAGAGCACCAGCCUUCUAAGUUGGGGGUCGCAGGUUCGAAUCCUGUCGGGGGCA
rnacentral:tRNA from 1 species